UGUUUUCAUGUGUACCCACAUCAUACAUAAAUGCAAACGAAUUUUGUGAAGAAGAAUUAUUACAGCAUCUAAAAUUAAAAAGAAAAAGUGAUUAUUGAAUCUAUGUGCGGAUAGAGUAGAUCAAAUGAUGUGAGAAAUCUUGGAAGUCUGAAAUUACAGGCUAUCGGGUGGAUAUAAAUGGCAUUAUGAAGGUCAUAUCCGUUGCUGAGGUCAACUUGAAAAAUUCAGGAUUAUCUUCGACGACUCCUAAAAUGAGCAUUUUAACAAAAAGAAAUAUAUAAAAAAUUUUUCAACUUGAAUUGGUUUCUUCUCAAACAAUCCACACAGGAGAUUACAAUGCAGUGAUGAAAAAA
rnacentral:misc_RNA from 1 species